rnacentral:rRNA from 1 species
GGGGAAUUGUUCGCAAUGGGCGCAAGCCUGACGACGCAACGCCGCGUGGAGGAUGAAGAUCUUCGGGUCGUAAACUCCUGUCGAGCGGGACGAACACCUGCCGGGCUAACAUCCAGGCAGGCUGACGGUACCGCCAAAGGAAGCCCCGGCUCACUACGUGCCAGCAGCCGCGGUAAUACGUAGGUGACCAGCGUUGUCCGGAUUUACUGGGCGUAAAGAGCGCGCAGGCGGUCGUUCAAGUCGAGUGUGAAAGCCCCCGGCUCAACUGGGGAGGGUCACUCGAUACUGAUCGACUUGAAGGCAGGAGAGGGAAGCGGAAUUCCCGGUGUAGUGGUGAAAUGCGUAGAUAUCGGGAGGAACACCAGUGGCGAAGGCGGCUUCCUGGCCUGUUCUUGACGCUGAGGCGCGAAAGCUAGGGGAGCAAA